rnacentral:lncRNA from 1 species
UUAGCCAAAGGAGAAAUCUCAGGAAAAAGAUAAAGCCUUCCAUUUACAUUGAUUUAGUCAUUCGUCAAAUGUAUAGUAAAUAUUUUGUGCUCCAUUCUCUGCCUUUAAAGAUAUUCUAAUAAUUCCACCUUUUGUUCUGAACAUCUUACUGAUCACUUGAAACGUCUUCUUGCAUGCCUUUCCAAGACUCUUGGGUCCCUAUACUCAUUUUGCUCUACUUUGAUGUGUCAAUCCAUCUUUGGAUUACUUGCCUUGUUUCUGUCCUGGCCAUAUAUUCACCCUGAACUCAGUCUAGGAUACUAUUGACAUGGACUAUAACACCUUCCAUUAGUCCUACCCCCUCACCCUUUUCCUCACCACGCAGAGUAUGUCUGUGUACACACACACACACACACACACACACACACACACACGCUUGGAAUAGAAGAUCAAACGCAUUUCUAAGGAUGUGAGCCUUUGACCUCUUGCUUAAAAAUGUUGCUAUGAUGUCACCCACGGAUUUCAUCACCAAGUCUUUGGACUGGAAGUGAGGAUUGGAGGUGCCCCUUAGUGAGUAGAUUUUAAUCCAUGUCUCUGACUCUAGGCACAGUCAUAUUUCAACCACAGGAAGGAAAAACUGAUGAACAAAAAUAGUACUCUGACUUACUGCUCAUGAUGUUUGAUUCAUAAAACUUGGGGUCAUCACGUUUCACCUCAUCAGGAUUUUCACAAAACUUGUUGAUGUUGUCUUCAAGGUACCAGCUUUUGUUCUCAUCAAACACAGCAAACACAGCCUGCUGUUCGAUGUCUGCUGCCCUCUGGAGGACAAAACAG